AGAGUUUGAUUCUGGCUCAGGAUGAACGCUGGCGGCGUGCUUAACACAUGCAAGUCGAACGAAGCCAAAAGGAAGCUUGCUUCUUUGAAGCUUAGUGGCGGACGGGUGAGUAACGCGUGAGGAACCUGCCCUUCAGUGGGGAAUAACAGCCGGAAACGACUGCUAAUACCGCAUAACGUCAUCGGACCGCAUGAUCUGGUGACCAAAGGAUUUAUUCGCUGAAGGAUGGCCUCGCGUCCGAUUAGGCAGUUGGUGAGGUAACGGCCCACCAAACCUACGAUCGGUAGCCGAACUGAGAGGUUGAUCGGCCACAUUGGGACUGAGACACGGCCCAGACUCCUACGGGAGGCAGCAGUGGGGAAUAUUGGGCAAUGGGCGAAAGCCUGAACCCCCAGCAACGCCGCGUGAAGGAUGACGGUCUUCGGAUUGUAAACUUCUUUGAUUGGGGAAGAACAAAAUGACCUACCCAAAGAACAAGUCACGGCUAACUACGUGCCAGCAGCAGC
rnacentral:rRNA from 1 species